UCUGACAUUCACCUAGCACGUGCGUUCCGUCACCUAGCAACGGUCAAACAGGAAGUGAUCAGAAGUGAGCGGCUGAGGGUGAGAAUGGUGAAGCAGACUAUACAGAUAUUUGCUCGGGUUAAACCAUCAAAUAAAGCAACCACGGUGUACUCUGUGGAUAAUGAGGAACAGAGCGGAUGCAGCCUGGAGUUCGUAGUUCCGAGGGAUCUUGCAGACGGCUUCAUCAAUAACAAGAGAGAGAGCUACAGAUUUCGGUUUCAGAAAGUUUUUGAUCAAAAUAUCAAGCAAGAGGAAAUCUUUGAGGCAAUUGCAAAACCUGUGGCUGAUAAUGUGCUGGCAGGAUACAAUGGCACCAUCUUCGCCUAUGGACAGACUGGCAGUGGAAAGACGUUCACCAUCACGGGUGGUGCUGAGCACUACUGUGACCGAGGAAUCAUUCCUAGAACUCUGUCCUAUCUGUAUCAGCAUUUCAACCAUGACAGAAGCAUGGUGUACACCACGCACAUAUCCUACCUGGAGAUCUACAAUGAGGUGGGAUACGACCUUCUGGAUCCACGGCAUGAAGCAUCCAAUCUGGAGGACUUACCGAAGGUGACAAUAAUGGAGGAUCCAGAGCAGAAUAUUCACCUCAAGAAUUUGUCAUUACAACCAUCAGCCAGUGAAGAAGAGGCUCUGAAUCUGCUUUUCAUGGGUGAUACCAAUCGUAUGAUUGCAGAGACCCCAAUGAAUCAAGCCUCCACACGCUCUCACUGCAUCUUCACCAUUCACGUGUGCAGCCGAGAGCCAGGAUCAGCCACAUUACGUCGCUCUAAGCUGCACUUGGUGGACCUGGCUGGCUCUGAGAGAGUGGGAAAGUCUGGUGUGGGAGGCCAUAUUCUCACUGAGGCCAAGUAUAUCAACCUGUCUCUGCACUACCUUGAGCAGGUCAUCACAGCUCUGUCAGAGAAGAAUCGCUCACACAUUCCUUACCGAAACUCCAUGAUGACCUCUGUGCUCAGAGACAGUCUGGGGGGAAACUGCAUGACCACCAUGAUCGCCAUGGUGUCAGUGGAAAAGAGGAAUGUUGAUGAAUCAAUUUCGACCUGCCGUUUUGCCCAGAGAGUGGCCAUGAUAAAAACAGAAGCUCACCUAAAUGAAGAGCUGGAUCCAUCACUUGUGAUCAUUCGCUUGAAGAAGGAGAUCCAGUGCUUAAAAGAUGAGCUAGCUCUGGUGACUGGUGAGCAAAGAUCUGAUGAGCUGACUCAAGAAGAAAUCCAGAGGAUUGAAGACCAGCUUAAGAUGUUUCUUGAUGACCCUGACCCUGAAGUAACUCUGGAACUCGGACCAGAUAUGAGAAAAAUCCGACACUGUUUUUCUCUCUUAAAGGUUAGGCUGAAAGAGAAACCAGCUGAGCUGAACAAGGGAGCUGGUGAUAUUAGUCCUCUUCCCUCUUCAAGAAGCAGAGAUGGUCCACAAAGCCCAGUCAACAAAGAUUUUCUCAAACUGAAGGACAUGCUAACACAGCGUGACAAUGAGAUCAGUAUUCUUGUGAGCAUGCUGAAGAAAGAGAAGCACAAGGUUCAAGAAGCCAAUGUUCAAAUAGCAAAAUUAUGCAGCUCCCAAAGCUCACUCCAAUCAUCAUCCUCUAGCACGGUCACUGAGAAAAAAAUAAAGCAAGAAGCUUCAGAGGACUCCACGCAUGCCGAACAUGUAAAGUGCAAGCGAAAUGGAGCAGAGCUGUCUAUGGGACGACAGGAGGCAUUUGAAAUAUUUAAGAAUGAGCAUGAGGAUAAUAUAACUCUAGAAGACAACAAGGUCAUUUUGAAACAGAGGUUUGCUGAAGCUAAGGAACUGGGUGUGCAGGUUAACCAGGCCAGGAGCAGAGUCAAUGAGCUGAAGAAGCAGCUGGAGACUAGAAGGAGGCAGAUUGCAGCACAGGGUGUAAUGGGAAACCAGCCAGGUACAGAAUUAGAUCCUGUAGAGGAACGACUCCGUAAACAGAUUGAAGAGGAGAAGAAACUAUAUAAGAGCACUUUUGAACGUUUAAAAGGCUUGAAGACCGAGAUCGAUCAUAUUCAGCACCUGCAUCAGAGGUCAAAGAUCAAACUGCAGAAAGAGUUCCAGGACUGGUGGACUCAGGAGGCAGCAAGCCUACAGCAGGAUAAAUGCUCAGCGAGUGCAAGAGCAGGGCAGAGCCAGGACAAUUCUCCUUGCCCUCCAUCAACCAGUUCAUUGCACGAACACCGUGUCGAUAACCAAGUCAGAGCACAAAGACAGAAGCCUAAUCCACCUACAAGAGAGCUCAGAGCCUUGUUCGCUGCUGGCCCUUCCUCAACAUCGAUCCCACUGACUGGAGACCAAGAGACCGAUGGCAAUAUAUUGGCCUUCAUCAAAGCCAGACAAAAUCUGCUCACCAGAACAGUGUCCGAUUCUGAUGGCGGCUCCUAAGUUACUGCUUAAUGGGUGACAAAUUCACAUGGAGAGGAAAAAAUUAACAACAAAACAAUUACCUCUUUUCUGUGGUUAUUGUCAAACUGAGAAGAGUUCUCCGUACUCAGCCACUGUAAAGGAGUGGCAAAGAAAUAAGGCUGAAACUAUUCGUUCACGGUGAACACAAUGUGCCGGGGUUUGACUAACAAAUGCGUUCCCUUGCAUUACAUCAGCAAAGUUCACAGCUAUCUACUGACUCUCAAAAGCUAUUUUGACUUGGACGGAAUUGAAGUUAGAAUAUACAUGAAGACAGUUAUUUCUAUAUUAUUUUUAGAACUCGUUCAUCUGAAGGACUUUACUUUAUUUCUGUCACUAAUGGCGAGUAACAUUCUGUAAAUGAGCUCGAAUAUCUCAGCAAUAGACAGUAGCUUAGCAGCAGCAUAUAUCACUGCUAAAGGCACUUAUCCGACCUGAGCAAAUGUUUUCACAAGCUAUCACACUGUACUAACUGGAUCGGAUGUCUGUCACCCUGCCAAGAUCUGCGACUUAUUUACUCGAGUCAUCAAACCAUAGAUUUUAUAGAUUUGUGUUGUCUUUUCCCAGCAGGUUGUUUAAUCGAUUUUUUUCCUCCCAUCUGCUCGGUAUAAAAUGAUUCCUGUAAAAUAUGAUUAGCACUUUCCUUUACAUGACUUGUUCCACUAUAAACUGCCUGUCAGAUGAAUUUGUACAAAUAAACAGACCUGCCAUUAA